GACGAACGCUGGCGGCGUGCUUAACACAUGCAAGUCGAACGGAAAGGCCUCUUUCGGGGGGUACUCGAGUGGCGAACGGGUGAGUAACACGUGAGUAACCUGCCCUUGACUUUGGGAUAACUUCAGGAAACUGGGGCUAAUACCGGAUAGGAGCUCCUGCUGCAUGGUGGGGGUUGGAAAGUUUCGGCGGUUGGGGAUGGACUCGCGGCUUAUCAGCUUGUUGGUGGGGUAGUGGCUUACCAAGGCUUUGACGGGUAGCCGGCCUGAGAGGGUGACCGGCCACAUUGGGACUGAGAUACGGCCCAGACUCCUACGGGAGGCAGCAGUGGGGAAGAUUGCACAAUGGGUGGAAGCCUGAUGCAGCAACGCCGUGUGCGGGAUGACGGCCUUCGGGUUGUAAACCGCUUUCGCUCAUGACGAAGCUUUGCGUGACGGUAGUGGGUAAAGAAGCACCGGCUAACUACGUG
rnacentral:rRNA from 1 species